rnacentral:rRNA from 1 species
UACAGAGGGGGCAAGCGUUGUUCGGAAUCACUGGGCGUAAAGGGCGCGUAGGCGGCCUUGCAAGUCGGUUGGUGAAAGCCCGGGGCUCAACCCCGGAGGUGCGGCCGAGACUGCAGGGCUGGAGGCCGGAAGAGGAGGGUGGAAUACCCAGUGUAGAGGUGAAAUUCGUAGAUAUUGGGUGGAACACCGGUGGCGAAAGCGGCUCUCUGGUCCGGACCUGACGCUGAGGCGCGAAAGCGUGGGGAGCAAACAGG